rnacentral:rRNA from 1 species
UAAAAACCCCGACUUCGGAAGGGGUGUAUUUAUUAGAUACAAAACCAAUGCCCUUCGGGGCUCUUUGGUGAUUCAUGAUAACUAUACGAAUCGCACGGCCUUGCGCCGGCGAUGGUUCAUUCAAAUUUCUUCCCUAUCAACUUUCGAUGUUUGGGUAUUGGCCAAACAUGGUUGCAACGGGUAACGGAGGGUUAGGGCUCGACCCCGGAGAAGGAGCCUGAGAAACGGCUACCACAUCCAAGGAAGGCAGCAGGCACGCAAAUUACCCACUCCUGGAACGGGGAGGUAGUGACGAAAAAUAACUAUGCGGGACCCUAUCGAGGCCCCGUAAUUGGAAUGAGUACACUCUAAAUCCUUUAACGAGGAUCUAUUGGAGGGCAAGUCUGGUGCCAGCAGCCGCGGUAAUUCCAGCUCCAAUAGCGUAUAUUAAAAUUGUUGCAGUUAAAAAGCUCGUAGUUGGAUCUGCGGUUAGGGCUUGCGGUCCACCACGCGGUGGUACUGCUCGUCCCGACCUACAUCGAAUUGACCCGCGUUGCUCUUCGCUGAGUGACCGGGAAGGCUCGAACGUUUACUUUG